AUACUUACCUGGCAGGGGAGCUACCAUGAUCACAAAGGUGCUUUUCCCAGGGCGAGGCUUCUCCGUGGCACCCCGGCUGUGCUGACCCCUGUGAUUUCCCCAGAUGUGGGGAACUCGACUGCAUAAUUUGUGGUACUGGGGGACCGCCUUGGCGCUCUCCCC